rnacentral:tRNA from 1 species
CUCUGGGUGGUGUAAACAGUUAACAUACUCAGCUGCUAACUGAAAAGUUGGUAGUUCAAGUCCACCCAGAGA